AGAAGGUCAAGAAAGGAGUAGAAAUGAUUGAAGAGGGUCAGCUAAAAGGUCCAAAGGCUAUGUUUCCAAAACUUCUGCUACAGGAUGGAGCCUUACCUGCUGUUGAUAAUGCUUAUGCCGCCGUCACUACAGAAGAGUGUGUAUUGAUGAAAGACACGACCCAGAAGAUGAAGGAAGUAGAAAUGGACGAUGUAAGGUG
rnacentral:lncRNA from 1 species